rnacentral:rRNA from 1 species
UACGGGGGGGGCAAGCGUUGUUCGGGAUUACUGGGCGGAAAGGGCUCGUAGGCGGCCAACUAAGGCAGACGUGAAAUCCCUCGGCUUAACCGGGGAACUGCGUCUGAUACUGGAUGGCUCGAGAUUGGGAGAGGGAUGCGGAAUUCCAGGUGUAGCGGUGAAAUGCGUAGAUAUCUGGAGGAACACCGGUGGCGAAGGCGGCAUCCUGGACCGGUAUUGACGCUGAUGCGCGAAAGCCAGGGGAGCAAACGGG